UACGUAGGGUGCGAGCGUUAAUCGGAAUUACUGGGCGUAAAGCGUGCGCAGGCGGUUACUUAAGUCAGGUGUGAAAGCCCUGGGCUUAACCUAGGAAUUGCGCUUGAGACUGGGUAGCUUUGAGUGUGGCAGAGGGAGGUGGAAUUCCACGUGUAGCAGUGAAAUGCGUAGAGAUGUGGAGGAACACCGAUGGCGAAGGCAGCCCCCUGGGCUAACACUGACGCUCAGGCACGAAAGCGUGGGGAGCAAACAGG
rnacentral:rRNA from 1 species